CUCAAGUGAAACUGACUCUGCUAGAACAGUGCCGUGCUUUUCCACAGAAGGUUAAACCCUGAGAGAGAUGGCUCAGCACCACCUAUGGAUCUUGCUCCUUUGCCUGCAAACCUGGCCGGAAGCAGCUGGAAAAGACUCAGAAAUCUUCACAGUGAAUGGGAUUCUGGGAGAGUCAGUCACUUUCCCUGUAAAUAUCCAAGAACCACGGCAAGUUAAAAUCAUUGCUUGGACUUCUAAAACAUCCGUUGCUUAUGUAACACCGGGAGACUCAGAAACAGCACCCAUAGUUACUGUGACCCACAGAAAUUAUUAUGAACGGAUACAUGCCUUAGGUCUGAACUACAAUCUGGUCAUUAGCGAUCUGAGGAUGGAAGAUGCAGGAGACUACAAAGCAGACAUAAAUACACAGGCUGAUCCCUACACCACCACUAAGCGCUACAACCUGCAAGUCUAUCGUCGGCUUGGGAAACCAAAAAUUACACAGAGUUUAAUGGCAUCUGUGAACAGCACCUGUAAUGUCACACUGACAUGCUCUGUAGAGAAAGAAGAAAAGAAUGUGACAUACAAUUGGAGUCCCCUGGGAGAAGAGGGUAAUGUCCUUCAAAUCUUCCAGACUCCUGAGGACCAAGAGCUGACUUACACGUGUACAGCCCAGAACCCUGUCAGCAACAAUUCUGACUCCAUUUCUGCCCGGCAGCUCUGUGCAGGUAACCAACUCUGCCCAUCUCUCCUGCUGAGUCUCGGAGAUCACUCUGAGGAGCUGCAAGGUCUGAAUGUGGGCUACAUUCUCUAGGGAGAUGUGCUUCCUUUAUCUUUGGCCUGGUCACUGAGGGCAUCACCUCCCAGGAAGCCUACU
rnacentral:sRNA from 1 species